UACAGAGGGGGCAAGCGUUAUUCGGAAUUAUUGGGCGUAAAGGGCGCGUAGGCGGCUUUUCAAGUGACGGGUGAAAUCCCUCGGCUUAACCGAGGAACUGCCUGUCAGACUGGAAGGCUUGAGACCGGGAGAGGUGAGUGGAAUUCCAGGUGUAGCGGUGAAAUGCGUAGAUAUCUGGAGGAACACCGGUGGCGAAGGCGACAUCCUGGACCGGUAUUGACGCUGAGGCGCGAAAGCCAGGGGAGCAAACGGG
rnacentral:rRNA from 1 species